AUUGAACGUUGGCGGCAGGCUUAACACAUGCAAGUCGAACGAGAAAGUUCCUUCGGGGAUGAGUACAGUGGCGAACGGGUGAGUAACGCGUAGGAAUCUACCUGAUAGUGGGGGAUAACUCGGGGAAACCCGAGCUAAUACCGCAUACGCUCUACGGAGGAAAGAGGGCCUCUAUUUAUAAGCUCUCGUUAUCAGAGGAGCCUGCGUUGGAUUAGCUAGUUGGUAGGGUAAAGGCCUACCAAGGCUACGAUCCAUAGCUGGUCUGAGAGGACGAUCAGCCACACUGGAACUGAGACACGGUCCAGACUCCUACGGGAGGCUG
rnacentral:rRNA from 1 species